ACUAGAGGCUUGACAUGUCCGGAAUUCUGCACAGAUGCGGAAGUGCCCUUCGGGGAAUCGGAACACAGGUGCUGCAUGGCUGUCGUCAGCUCGUGUCGUGAGAUGUUGGGUUAAUUCCCCCAACGAGCGCAACCCUUGUCCUUAUUUGCCACCGGUUCGGCCGGGCACUCUAGGGAGACUGCCGGUGACAAACCGGAGGAAGGUGGGGAUGACGUCAAGUCCUCAUGGCCUUUAUGUCCAGGGCUACACACGUGCUACAAUGGCGCGUACAGAGGGAAGCCAAGCCGCCAGGUGGAGCAGACCCCACAAAGCGCGUCGUACUUCGGAUUGCUGUCUGCAACUCGACUGCCUGAAGUCGGAAUCGCUGGUAAUCGCGGAUCAUCAUGCCGCGGUGAAUACAUUCCCGGGCCUUGUACACACCGCCCGUCACACCACGAAAGUGGGUUGUACCAGAAGCAGCUGCCCCAACCUUCAGGAGGGGGGGUACCCCCAC
rnacentral:rRNA from 1 species